UUCAUAUCAUUUGAUUUCGUGUUCAUUCUACAUCUCAUCAAAAAGAUUAUGAAGAUCACUGAUGUGUUGUGUCAGAAACUCCAAUACAAAUCUUUGGAUAUUUUAAAUGCAAUGGAUUCUGUUUCUAACACAAAGGUCCUACUUGGUGAGCUAAGGUAACAUGGUUGGGACUCUCUUUUAGAGGAGGUCAAAUCUUUUUGUGUGAAGCACGAGAUUGAUAUCCCAGAUUUGGACCGCAAGUAUGUUGAUGUUACCAAAUCUCGAAAUAAGCACGACAACACAACAACGCUCCACCACUACAAAGAGGAUGUUUUCAGUGUUGCAAUUGAUCAACAACUGAGUGAACUGAAUGAUCGAUUCAGUACACAAGCAACUGAGCUCCUUACUCUCUGUUCAUCACUGGAUCCAAGGCAUGGAUCUUUUGAUAUCCCAAAGAUAAGCACUCUUGCAGAAAAAUUCUAUCCUGCUGAUUUUUCAAGUCAAGAAUUAGCUCAGUUGGAAAGUCAGGUACCUCAUUUUCAGCUAGAUGUGUGCAACCAUCCAGAACUGCCGCGACUAGUUAUCACUCUCCCAGUCUCAACGGCAACUGCAGAGUGGGCUUUUUCGGCUAUGAAAAUUGUCAAGACACAUCUUCGAAGUAAAAUGGGAGAUGAUUUGCUUUGCCAUUGCAUGAUAAUUUACAUAGAAAAAUUAGCAGCUAAGAUAUCUUCUAAAAUUAUUAAUAUUUUUGAUCUUAUUGGCAAUCGUAGAGGCCACUUUAAAUUAAUAGGAAUGUAA
rnacentral:rRNA from 1 species